rnacentral:rRNA from 1 species
AGCGAACGCUGGCGGCAGGCUUAACACAUGCAAGUCGAGCGGGCACUUUCGGGUGUCAGCGGCUGACGGGUGAGUAACGCGUGGGAACGUGCCCUCUGGUUCGGAAUAACUCAGUGAAACUUGAUCUAAUACCGGAUACGCCCUUUUGGGGAAAGGCUUGCUUCCGGAGUAUCGGCGCGCGUCUGAUUACCUAGGUGGUUAGGUAAGGGCUCACCAAGGCGACGAUCAGUAGCUGGGAUGUGAGGCUGAUCAGCCACACUGAGACUGAGACACGGUCCAGAAUAUUACGCGAGGGAGGAGAGGGGAAUCUUGCCAAACGGGGUCAAUGAUGAACGAGUCAUGGUGGGUGAGCGAUGAAGGUCUGAGGGUAGUACAGCACUUUUAUACGGGACGAUAAUGACGGUACCGGAGGAAUAAGCACCGGCUAACUUCGUG